UUAAAAAACAGAAAAGGAAAAAAAAGUAAUAUUGUAAGGGUAGAAGAAAGUCAUAGAGUCAAUGCCAUGUUGGAAUGAUGGUAUUUGAAAGACUGAGUCGUUGGGCCAUUCGCCCAAAAUACAAUUCCUAUUUUGUAAUUCAGCUUUCACACCUACAUCACAUUCUUCCUCAUUUUCACUUUUUUUUAUUAAUUUAUUUUAUUCUUUUUUUUCGUCUUCUUCUUCCAAUGCAACCUCUUCUUUAUCUUCCUUCCUUUCAUUCCAUUGGUGAUUCUCAUUUUAUAAUCUUUAUAUAUAAAAAAUGCUCCAUUUCAUAGUCUUUGACCCAAAUAUGUAUAUAUACACAACUGUUUGAUUAUUUCUAGAGAGAGAGAAAAAGAUGGAUAGCUCAAUGGGGGCAGGGUUGAUGGUAGUUUUUGCAGUUUCAGGAAGUGUAGCACUCUUUGCACUUCAUGUUCAUAAGCGUCUCCUCUCUGACUUCAUGAAGAAGAUUGAAUUUGAAUUGGGAUCAACAGAGAAAGGUGAAUCACCUAAGAAGACGGUGAGCUUCGCGGUGGAUGUGAUGGAGCCAUCAUCAAAUAACAAAGAAUAUCGAAAGAAACAUAUCAUGAGAAAGGCGGCGACCAGCGUUGACUCGGUUCAUGAUCAUAAUAAUCUAUGUUCAUCCAACAACAAUAUGCAUAUGCCUCUGAAUAGGCAAGUUCUGUAUAAAGGGCUCAUAGAAUAUAAAUCUCUCUUAGGCUGCAAUGUCUCUACUACUUGCUAAUUGCUAGCGCAACGCCUCUGUUUGGUGGUGGCAGAACUGGGGUGGCGGUGGCUGUGGUGGUGGCUAUGAUGGUGGUGCUAAAAAUGUAUAAAGUUGUAUAUCUAGAACUUCCAUAAAUAAUUUUCCAUUAAUAUUGUAAGUUUGUAACAUGUAUAAAAUCCUGGGAAUUGAAACAGGAUGUUGUUUUUC